AAUAUAGUGCCUGAUAAAAGGACCUUUUUGAUGUGAAGGAAUUAUACAAAUUCCAUUAUUUGUCUAUAUUA
rnacentral:tRNA from 1 species